rnacentral:misc_RNA from 1 species
AAAUCUUUUGCUGUCAAACCUGUGACAUGAAGACAUAUUUUAUUGAAGAACAGAAGUGAGAAUGGAACACAAAAUCCUGGUAGAAAAAUAUGCAGCGUGAGAACUAUCGGUACAUAAUUAGGAGUAAAGAAAAAGCAGCUGUACCAUUUACACGUAUAAUUGCCAAACCUUCAUAAGCAAAUCUUAGGACUAAUAAAUACAUGACAGUUCAAGAAAUUAGUAAAGCUUUAGCCUUCUAUUUUUUCAUACAAGUGGAAUGCAGAAAAAUGCACAAAUUAUAAACCAGAGUGCAAAAAUUUAGAAAAAGGAACACAAAUAAAGACUAACAAAAAGCACAAGUGAAUUUUUUUUUCAUAGCAAUAAUUAAAAAUUUUCAAUAGAUUUCUACAAUCUUGA